UUGGAGGGCAAGUCUGGUGCCAGCAGCCGCGGUAAUUCCAGCUCCAAUAGCGUAUAUUAAAGUUGUUGCAGUUAAAAAGCUCGUAGUUGAAUUUCGGGAUCAAUAUUUCGGUCAUGCCGUUGGUAUGCACUGUUAUCAUUGAUUUCUCACCUUCUAAAGAACCGUAAUGCCAUUAAUUUGGUGUUACGGGAAAUUAGGACUGUUACCUUGAAAAAAUUAGAGUGUUUAAAGCAGGCUCACGCUUGAAUACAUUAGCAUGGAAUAAUGAAAUAGGACAUCCGAUUCUAUUUUGUUGGUUUCUAGGAUCGAUGUAAUGAUUAAUAGGGAUAGUUGGGGGCAUUAGUAUUCAAUUGUCAGAGGUGAAAUUCUUGGAUUUAUUGAAGACUAACUACUGCGAAAGCAUUUGCCAAGGAUGUUUUCAUUAAUCAAGAACGAAAGUUAGGGGAUCGAAGACGAUCAGAUACCGUCGUAGUCUUAACCAUAAACUAUGCCGACUAGGGAUCGGAUGAUGUUAAUUUUUUAAUGACUCAUUCGGCGCCUUACGGGAAAC
rnacentral:rRNA from 2 species